rnacentral:rRNA from 1 species
GGUGAACGCUGGCGGCGUGCUUAAGACAUGCAAGUCGAACGCAGUCUUCGGACUGAGUGGCGCACGGGUGAGUAACACGUAACUGACCUACCCCCAAGUCGCGAAUAACCAGCCGAAAGGAUGGCUAAUACGUGAUGUGAUGAUCCGCUGUGGCGGAUCAUUAAAGACUUGAUCGCUUGGGGAUGGGGUUGCGUUACAUCAGCUAGUUGGUAAGGUAAAGGCUUACCAAGGCAACGACGGAUAGCCGGCCUGAGAGGCUGGCCGGCCACAUGGGCACUGACACACGGGUCCCCUUCAUCAGGGUGGCGGGAGUUAGGAUUCUUCCACAAGGAGGGCAAGCCUGAUGGAGCGAAGGCGAGUGAGGGAUGAAGGUCCUCGGAUCCUACACCUCUGAACCAGCGACGAAACGCCCGACAAAGGGGAUGACGGUAGUUGGGUAAUAGGACCGGCUAACUCCGUGCCAGCCGCCGCCGUAAGAC